rnacentral:rRNA from 1 species
AGUACGGCCGCAAGGCUAAAACUCAAAGGAAUUGACGGGGGCCCGCACAAGCGGAGGAACAUGUGGUUUAAUUCGAUGAUACGCGAGGAACCUUACCUGGGCUUAAAUGUAGCGUGACCGUACCCGAAAGGGUAUUUCUCUUCGGAGCAGGUUACAAGGUGCUGCAUGGCUGUCGUUAGCUCGUGCCGUGAGGUGUCGGGUUAAGUCCCAUAACGAGCGCAACCCCUAUCGUUAGUUGCCAGCGGGUAAUGCCGGGAACUCUAGCGAGACUGCCACCGUAAGGUGAGAGGAAGGUGGGGAUGACGUCAAGUCAGCACGGCCCUUAUGUCCAGGGCUACACACGUGUUACAAUGGUCAGUACAAAGGGCAGCUACCUGGUGACAGGAUGCAAAUCUCUAAAACUGAUCCCAGUUCGGAUCGAAGUCUGCAACUCGACUUCGUGAAGUUGGAUUCGCUAGUAAUCGUAUAUCAGCAACGAUACGGUGAAUACGUUCCCGGGCCUUGUACACACCGCCCGUCAAGCCAUGGAAGCCGGGGGUACCUGAAGUUC